UUGACAUGUGAGUAUAAAAAGAAAUUGUAAUGAUUCUCAAAUAAUAUAUAGGGAUUACUUCAUUUCUUAUAGAAUUUUCUUUAUUUUUGAAAUUUCUGUCAAACGUAAUAAGAUCGGUUACGGAACCUGAUAGAUGUAAACGGGAGGAAAGGUCCGUGGAGAAUGAGAUAUGUUGCCAUGCUCAAAAUUUUACACGGUUUAAACCCGGCCCGUUAAAUUUCACUCGAACCGCCAUGGCGCCAUGCAAAAGAUGAACAGAGAGACGGAGAAAGGAGCACUGAAAAUGAAAAAGACGAGAUAGGGGGAUCGGCGGAUCUUCACUCCGCGGCGAGACCUGGUUAUUUAGCGGCAGUUCAAUCAGUUGUCAGCUCUAAUCCUUUGUCUGUUAAUCAUAGAGAUAAGCAUUCUUGUGACUCGUCUUCGAUUUAAGUCUGGUUGAUCAUGAAUAAUCAGUUAUCAGCUCUUAGUAGUAUGGUGUGUGUUGCUUUGUUCUUUGCGACGGGCUUAGUUGGUCUUCAUCUCGAACCGGGCCGGUCUUGAUUAAAAGUUUGAAACAAUUACGAUUUGAAAGCUGAAUGCUCAUAAAAGUUGGUUUUCUUUGAAUAAAUUUUACAAAUAUUAAAAAAAAAAAAAAAUAAUCUAAUACCAUAUUAAGCAAUUAAAAUUUAGAGAACAAAACAUCCCUGAUCUCAAGACUCAAUGGUUCUUAAAAUAUAGGUACACUGUUUACAUGUUGUGUAUAGCCUUCCUUUUUGUUGUCCUUAACACCACGAUCUCUCUGAGCAACAGACUACACCUGGCAGCAUGGGCAGGCGAUGUCGUGAGCUACCUCUGCAAGAACAAAGCCGAUGUUGAUGUUGCAGCAGUAGAUGAUAUGGGUGCAAUUCACUUUGCUUCUCAAAAGGGGCAUUUGGAAGUUGUGAGAUCUGUUGGACGCUACUCAGGGUUCUCACUUGGACCUCGUCAAGAAGAAAACUGAGGAACCAAACUAUGCCUUGGAAAUUUUCUUUUCAAGUACUGAGUUGCCAUCCAUCCAAGAAUGGAGAAGAAAGCAAUAACCAAACAAGCAAUAUAAGUCAGUGCAUCAAACAAGCAAUAUAAGUCAGCGCAAGCGCGGAGCCGGAUAAGUUAUUGUCGUUGUGUAGUUUUGUGUACGGGAUUUUGUCGUUUAUUUUUUUCCACUUUUACUUUUCCGUGUUGUAUAUAAUGGUGAUGAACAUAACAUUUGGAAGUCACACAGUUUGAUUAAGUUGAUAUAAGAAUGAACUGUGAAUUCA